rnacentral:tRNA from 1 species
UAUUUGAUAUUCCUAACGGAGUCUGCGUUUCGGCCGCAGAAUUUGGAGUUUUACUUCUGUCAAAUGU